rnacentral:rRNA from 2 species
GUCGAACGAACUCUGGUAUUGAUUGGUGCUUGCAUCAUGAUUUACAUUUGAGUGAGUGGCGAACUGGUGAGUAACACGUGGGAAACCUGCCCAGAAGCGGGGGAUAACACCUGGAAACAGAUGCUAAUACCGCAUAACAACUUGGACCGCAUGGUCCGAGCUUGAAAGAUGGCUUCGGCUAUCACUUUUGGAUGGUCCCGCGGCGUAUUAGCUAGAUGGUGGGGUAACGGCUCACCAUGGCAAUGAUACGUAGCCGACCUGAGAGGGUAAUCGGCCACAUUGGGACUGAGACACGGCCCAAACUCCUACGGGAGGCAGCAGUAGGGAAUCUUCCACAAUGGACGAAAGUCUGAUGGAGCAACGCCGCGUGAGUGAAGAAGGGUUUCGGCUCGUAAAACUCUGUUGUUAAAGAAGAACAUAUCUGAGAGUAACUGUUCAGGUAUUGACGGUAUUUAACCAGAAAGCCACGGCUAACUACGUGCCAGCAGCCGCGGUAAUACGUAGGUGGCAAGCGUUGUCCGGAUUUAUUGGGCGUAAAGCGAGCGCAGGCGGUUUUUUAAGUCUGAUGUGAAAGCCUUCGGCUCAACCGAAGAAGUGCAUCGGAAACUGGGAAACUUGAGUGCAGAAGAGGACAGUGGAACUCCAUGUGUAGCGGUGAAAUGCGUAGAUAUAUGGAAGAACACCAGUGGCGAAGGCGGCUGUCUGGUCUGUAACUGACGCUGAGGCUCGAAAGUAUGGGUAGCAAACAGGAUUAGAUACCCUGGUAGUCCAUACCGUAAACGAUGAAUGCUAAGUGUUGGAGGGUUUCCGCCCUUCAGUGCUGCAGCUAACGCAUUAAGCAUUCCGCCUGGGGAGUACGGCCGCAAGGCUGAAACUCAAAGGAAUUGACGGGGGCCCGCACAAGCGGUGGAGCAUGUGGUUUAAUUCGAAGCUACGCGAAGAACCUUACCAGGUCUUGACAUACUAUGCAAAUCUAAGAGAUUAGACGUUCCCUUCGGGGACAUGGAUACAGGUGGUGCAUGGUUGUCGUCAGCUCGUGUCGUGAGAUGUUGGGUUAAGUCCCGCAACGAGCGCAACCCUUAUUAUCAGUUGCCAGCAUUAAGUUGGGCACUCUGGUGAGACUGCCGGUGACAAACCGGAGGAAGGUGGGGAUGACGUCAAAUCAUCAUGCCCCUUAUGACCUGGGCUACACACGUGCUACAAUGGAUGGUACAACGAGUUGCGAACUCGCGAGAGUAAGCUAAUCUCUUAAAGCCAUUCUCAGUUCGGAUUGUAGGCUGCAACUCGCCUACAUGAAGUCGGAAUCGCUAGUAAUCGCGGAUCAGCAUGCCGCGGUGAAUACGUUCCCGGGCCUUGUACACACCGCCCGUCACACCAUGAGAGUUUGUAACACCCAAAGUCGGUGGGGUAAC